UGACACAUUAAUGGGGUGAGGAUAUUAUUC
rnacentral:piRNA from 1 species